rnacentral:rRNA from 1 species
GACGAACGCUGGCGGCGUGCCUAAUACAUGCAAGUAGAACGCUGAAGGAGGAGCUUGCUUCUCUGGAUGAGUUGCGAACGGGUGAGUAACGCGUAGGUAACCUGCCUGGUAGCGGGGGAUAACUAUUGGAAACGAUAGCUAAUACCGCAUAAGAGUAGAUGUUGCAUGACAUUUGCUUAAAAGGUGCAAUUGCAUCACUACCAGAUGGACCUGCGUUGUAUUAGCUAGUUGGUGGGGUAACGGCUCACCAAGGCGACGAUACAUAGCCGACCUGAGAGGGUGAUCGGCCACACUGGGACUGAGACACGGCCCAGGCUCCUACGGGAGGCAGCAGUAGGGAAUCUUCGGCAAUGGACGGAAGUCUGACCGAGCAACGCCGCGUGAGUGAAGAAGGUUUUCGGAUCGUAAAGCUCUGUUGUAAGAGAAGAACGAGUGUGAGAGUGGAAAGUUCACACUGUGACGGUAUCUUACCAGAAAGGGACGGCUAACUACGUG